rnacentral:rRNA from 1 species
UGGGGAAUAUUGCACAAUGGGGCGAAAGCCUGAUGCAGCAACGCCGCGUGAGGGAAGACGGUUUUCGGAUUGUAAACCUCUGUUCUUAGUGAAGAAACAAAUGACGGUAGCUAAGCAGCAAGCCACGGCUAACUACGUGCCAGCAGCCGCGGUAAUACGUAGGUGGCAAGCGUUGUCCGGAUUUACUGGGUGUAAAGGGAGCGCAGGCGGGAGAGCAAGUCAGCUGUGAAAUCUAUGGGCUUAACUCAUAAAUUGCAGUUGAAACUUGUUUUUCUUGAGUGAAGUAGAGGUAGGCGGAAUUCCGAGUGUAGCGGUGAAAUGCGUAGAUAUUCGGAG